CCUACGGGAGGCAGCAGUGAGGAAUAUUGGUCAAUGGGCGCUAGCCUGAACCAGCCAAGUAGCGUGAAGGAUGACUGCCCUAUGGGUUGUAAACUUCUUUUAUAUGGGAAUAAAGUGCAGUAUGUAUACUGCUUUGCAUGUACCUUAUGAAUAAGGAUCGGCUAACUCCGUGCCAGCAGCCGCGGUAAUACGGAGGAUUCGAGCGUUAUCCGGAUUUAUUGGGUUUAAAGGGGGCGUAGGCGGGUUGUUAAGUCAGUUGUGAAAGUUUGCGGCUCAACCGUAAAAUUGCAGUUGAUACUGGCAGCCUUGAGUACAGUAGAGGUAGGCGGAAUUCGUGGUGUAGCGGUGAAAUGCUUAGAUAUCACGAAGAACUCCGAUUGCGAAGGCAGCCUGCUGGACUGUAACUGACGCUGAUGCUCGAAAGUGUGGGUAUCAAACAGGAUUAGAUACCCGGGUAGUC
rnacentral:rRNA from 1 species